GACGAACGCUGGCGGCGUGCUUAACACAUGCAAGUCGAGCGGUAAGGCCCUUUCGGGGGUACACGAGCGGCGAACGGGUGAGUAACACGUGGGUGACCUGCCCUCAGCUCUGGGAUAAGCCUGGGAAACUGGGUCUAAUACCGGACAUGACUCCAUGACGCAUGUUGUGGGGUGGAAAGCCUUGUGCGGCUGAGGAUGGGCCCGCGGCCUAUCAGCUUGUUGGUGGGGGAUGGCCUACCAAGGCGACGACGGGUAGCCGGCCUGGGAGGCGACCGGCCACACUGGGACUGAGACACGG
rnacentral:rRNA from 1 species